rnacentral:rRNA from 3 species
GGUUAACGGAGCGAAAGCGACGUUCAACCUCAAAAGAAGCAGAGGGGGCUUAGUGGUGGGGUGACUGCGUACCUUUUGUAUAAUGGGUCAGCGACUUAUAUUCUGUAGCAAGGUUAACUGUAUAGGGGAGCCGGAGGGAAACCGAGUCUUAACCGGGCGUUAAGUUGCAGGGUAUAGACCCGAAACCCGGUGAUCUAGCCAUGGGCAGGUUGAAGGUUGGGUAACACUAACUGGAGGACCGAACCGACUAAUGUUGAAAAAUUAGCGGAUGACCUGUGGCUGGGGGUGAAAGGCCAAUCAAACCGGGAGAUAGCUGGUUCUCCCCGAAAGCUAUUUAGGUAGCGCCUCGUGAAUUCAUCUCCGGGGGUAGAGCACUGUUUCGGCUAGGGGGCCAUCCCGGCUUACCAACCCGAUGCAAACUGCGAAUACCGGAGAAUGUUAUCACGGGAGACACACGGCGGGUGCUAAUGUCCGUCGUGAAGAGGGAAACAACCCAGACCGCCAGCUAAGGUCCCAAAGUCAUGGUUAAGUGGGAAACGAUGUGGGAAGGCCCAGACAGCCAGGAUGUUGGCUUAGAAGCAGCCAUCAUUUAAAGAAAGCGUAAUAGCUCACUGGUCGAGUCGGCCUGCGCGGAAGAUGUAACGGGGCUAAACCAUGCACCGAAGCUGCGGCAGCGACACCGUGUGUUGUUGGGUAGGGGAGCGUUCUGUAAGCCUGUGAAGGUGUGCUGUGAGGCAUGCUGGAGGUAUCAGAAGUGCGAAUGCUGACAUAAGUAACGAUAAAGCGGGUGAAAAGCCCGCUCGCCGGAAGACCAAGGGUUCCUGUCCAACGUUAAUCGGGGCAGGGUGAGUCGACCCCUAAGGCGAGGCCGAAAGGCGUAGUCGAUGGGAAACGGGUUAAUAUUCCCGUACUUGGUGUUACUGCGAAGGGGGGACGGAGAAGGCUAUGUUGGCCGGGCGACGGUUGUCCCGGUUUAAGCGUGUAGGUAUGUGUUCCAGGUAAAUCCGGUUCACUUUAACACUGAGGCGUGACGACGAGGCACUACGGUGCUGAAGCAACAAAUGCCCUGCUUCCAGGAAAAGCCUCUAAGCAUCAGGUAACAUCAAAUCGUACCCCAAACCGACACAGGUGGUCAGGUAGAGAAUACCAAGGCGCUUGAGAGAACUCGGGUGAAGGAACUAGGCAAAAUGGUGCCGUAACUUCGGGAGAAGGCACGCUGACACGUAGGUGAAGUGAUUUACUCACGGAGCUGAAGUCAGCCGAAGAUACCAGCUGGCUGCAACUGUUUAUUAAAAACACAGCACUGUGCAAACACGAAAGUGGACGUAUACGGUGUGACGCCUGCCCGGUGCCGGAAGGUUAAUUGAUGGGGUCAGCGCAAGCGAAGCUCCUGAUCGAAGCCCCGGUAAACGGCGGCCGUAACUAUAACGGUCCUAAGGUAGCGAAAUUCCUUGUCGGGUAAGUUCCGACCUGCACGAAUGGCGUAAUGAUGGCCAGGCUGUCUCCACCCGAGACUCAGUGAAAUUGAACUCGCUGUGAAGAUGCAGUGUACCCGCGGCAAGACGGAAAGACCCCGUGAACCUUUACUAUAGCUUGACACUGAACAUUGAGCCUUGAUGUGUAGGAUAGGUGGGAGGCUUUGAAGUGUGGACGCCAGUCUGCAUGGAGCCGACCUUGAAAUACCACCCUUUAAUGUUUGAUGUUCUAACGUGGACCCGUGAUCCGGGUUGCGGACAGUGUCUGGUGGGUAGUUUGACUGGGGCGGUCUCCUCCUAAAGAGUAACGGAGGAGCACGAAGGUUGGCUAAUCCUGGUCGGACAUCAGGAGGUUAGUGCAAUGGCAUAAGCCAGCUUGACUGCGAGCGUGACGGCGCGAGCAGGUGCGAAAGCAGGUCAUAGUGAUCCGGUGGUUCUGAAUGGAAGGGCCAUCGCUCAACGGAUAAAAGGUACUCCGGGGAUAACAGGCUGAUACCGCCCAAGAGUUCAUAUCGACGGCGGUGUUUGGCACCUCGAUGUCGGCUCAUCACAUCCUGGGGCUGAAGUAGGUCCCAAGGGUAUGGCUGUUCGCCAUUUAAAGUGGUACGCGAGCUGGGUUUAGAACGUCGUGAGACAGUUCGGUCCCUAUCUGCCGUGGGCGCUGGAGAACUGAGGGGGGCUGCUCCUAGUACGAGAGGACCGGAGUGGACGCAUCACUGGUGUUCGGGUUGUCAUGCCAAUGGCACUGCCCGGUAGCUAAAUGCGGAAGAGAUAAGUGCUGAAAGCAUCUAAGCACGAAACUUGCCCCGAGAUGAGUUCUCCCUGAGACUUUAGGUCUCCUGAAGGAACGUUGAAGACGACGACGUUGAUAGGCCGGGUGUGUAAGCGCAGCGAUGCGUUGAGCUAACCGGUACUAAUGAACCGUGAGGCUUAACCUU